rnacentral:rRNA from 1 species
CAGCAGCCGCGGGAAUACGAAGGGUGCAAGCGUUAAUCGGAAUUACUGGGCGUAAAGCGUGCGUAGGCGGUGAGUUAAGUCUGCUGUGAAAUCCCCCGGCUCAACCUGGGAAUGGCAGUGGAUACUGGCUCGCUAGAGUGUGUCAGAGGAUGGUGGAAUUCCCGGUGUAGCGGUGAAAUGCGUAGAGAUCGGGAGGAACAUCAGUGGCGAAGGCGGCCAUCUGGGACAACACUGACGCUGAGGCACGAAAGCGUGGGGAGCAAACAGGAUUAGAUACCCCCGUAGUCCCUGUCUCUUAUAC